rnacentral:rRNA from 1 species
UUACACAUGCAGUCGAACGAUGAUGCCAGCUUGCUGGUGGAUUAGUGGCGAACGGGUGAGUAACACGUGAGUAACCUGCCCUUAACUCUGGGAUAAGCCUGGGAAACUGGGUCUAAUACCGGAUAUGACUCCUCAUCGCAUGGUGGGGGGUGUAAAGCUUUUUGUGGUUUUGGAUGGACUCGCGGCCUAUCAGCUUGUUGGUGAGGUAAUGGCUCACCAAGGCGACGACGGGUAGCCGGCCUGAGAGGGUGACCGGCCACACUGGGACUGAGACACGGCCCAGACUCCUACGGGAGGCAGCAGUGGGGAAUAUUGCACAAUGGGCGAAAGCCUGAUGCAGCGACGCCGCGUGAGGGAUGACGGCCUUCGGGUUGUAAACCUCUUUCAGUAGGGAAGAAGCGAAAGUGACGGUACCUGCAGAAGAAGCGCCGGCUAACUACGUGCCAGCAGCCGCGGUAAUACGUAGGGCGCAAGCGUUAUCCGGAAUUAUUGGGCGUAAAGAGCUCGUAGGCGGUUUGUCGCGUCUGCCGUGAAAGUCCGGGGCUCAACUCCGGAUCUGCGGUGGGUACGGGCAGACUAGAGUGAUGUAGGGGAGACUGGAAUUCCUGGUGUAGCGGUGAAAUGCGCAGAUAUCAGGAGGAACACCGAUGGCGAAGGCAGGUCUCUGGGCAUUAACUGACGCUGAGGAGCGAAAGCAUGGGGAGCGAACAGGAUUAGAUACCCUGGUAGUCCAUGCCGUAAACGUUGGGCACUAGGUGUGGGGGACAUUCCACGUUUUCCGCGCCGUAGCUAACGCAUUAAGUGCCCCGCCUGGGGAGUACGGCCGCAAGGCUAAAACUCAAAGGAAUUGACGGGGGG